rnacentral:rRNA from 1 species
UAGAUGACGCUGGCGGCGUGCUUAACACAUGCAAGUCGAACGAUGAUCUCCAGCUUGCUGGGGGGAUUAGUGGCGAACGGGUGAGUAACACGUGAGUAACCUGCCCUUGACUCUGGGAUAAGCCUGGGAAACUGGGUCUAAUACCGGAUACGACCGUCCCGCGCAUGCGGUGGUGGUGGAAAGCUUUUGCGGUUUUGGAUGGACUCGCGGCCUAUCAGCUUGUUGGUGGGGUAAUGGCCUACCAAGGCGACGACGGGUAGCCGGCCUGAGAGGGUGACCGGCCACACUGGGACUGAGACACGGCCCAGACUCCUACGGGAGGCAGCAGUGGGGAAUAUUGCACAAUGGGCGAAAGCCUGAUGCAGCGACGCCGCGUGAGGGAUGACGGCCUUCGGGUUGUAAACCUCUUUCAGUAGGGAAGAAGCGAAAGUGACGGUACCUGCAGAAGAAGCGCCGGCUAACUACGUGCCAGCAGCCGCGGUAAUACGUAGGGCGCAAGCGUUAUCCGGAAUUAUUGGGCGUAAAGAGCUCGUAGGCGGUUUGUCGCGUCUGCUGUGAAAGACCGGGGCUCAACUCCGGUUCUGCAGUGGGUACGGGCAGACUAGAGUGAUGUAGGGGAGACUGGAAUUCCUGGUGUAGCGGUGAAAUGCGCAGAUAUCAGGAGGAACACCGAUGGCGAAGGCAGGUCUCUGGGCAUUAACUGACGCUGAGGAGCGAAAGCAUGGGGAGCGAACAGGAUUAGAUACCCUGGUAGUCCAUGCCGUAAACGUUGGGCACUAGGUGUGGGGGACAUUCCACGUUUUCCGCGCCGUAGCUAACGCAUUAAGUGCCCCGCCUGGAGA